rnacentral:rRNA from 1 species
UACAGAGGUCCCGAGCGUUGUUCGGAUUCACUGGGCGUAAAGGGCGCGUAGGCGGUCGUGACAAGUCACUUGUGAAAUCUCCGGGCUUAACUCGGAACGGUCAAGUGAUACUGUCGGACUAGAGUACAGAAGGGGCAACUGGAAUUCUCGGUGUAGCGGUGAAAUGCGUAGAUAUCGAGAGGAACACCUGCGGCGAAGGCGGGUAGCUGGGCCGACACUGACGCUGAGGCGCGGAAAGCCAGGGAGCGAACGGG